AGCUACGGCGGCAACACGAACGUCUAAUACUGAAGCAGUGGUCGACAUUGUGUUCACUCCGGAUGCUGAAAUCCCACAGGCUGCUGACGUAGCACAGACCUUGAUAGACGCUGCGAAUAACAACAGUCUCUCCGACCUCGGUGUUGAUCCAGAGUCUGUCCGUGCAGUUUCACCUACAACAGCUGCACCUACAACUGCAGCACCCACAACAGCUGCACCUACAACUGCUGCACCUACCACUGCAGCACCUACAACAGCUGCACCUGUAACAACUGAGGCGGUCACAACAAGGCGACUGUCUUUCAGAUCUGCUGGAGAGACAUUUAUCACUGACUUGCUAAAUACAUCAUCUGCAGCGUUUCAAAGAAGAGCCUCAUUGAUAACGUCAAAUCUCGAGCCGUUCUACCAAAGAGCAUUUACUUCGUUCCGCUCCUUAACAGUGACUUCAUUCAGUAAUGGUUCAAUCAUCAACAACAUGGACAUUGGAUUUGCAUCAGCUUCUGUUCCUAAUGGCACUCAGAUUGGAAAUGUUUUGAUUCAAGCAGCUUCAAACAUCACAGUCUUCAAUGUUGACCUGAACUCCAUUUUCGUGGAUGGCUCACAGGUUUCAAGUGGAGUAAGCCACAAGAUCAGUCUCAUCACUGCAUCCUUCCUCGUACUGUCGUCAUGGAUACUGUCAAACCAGCAAUAGUAUCAUCGCUGACUCCUGUUAGAAAAGCCCUGAUUGUAUGACUGCCAUCACUGGCAUGACAAAUGACUUCUUGAUUAUUGAAUGAUAUUUUUGUUCUAAAUUUUACACUGUAUUUUUGGUGUUUAAAUUAAUGCAUGUCAAAUUCAUAUUCAGGUUUUACUUGAUAUUACAGCAUUACAUAACACUCCAUGACUGUAUCAGAGAAAAUAUUGUACAGGGAAGAUUUAAGGAAUACACUGCAGCUCACCAUGAGCUGAGUAUCCCAAUGAUGAACAAAUAUAUGGGCAUAGAUUUGUAUUAUGAUAUACAUAAUAUUAUAUAUGUGUAAAAGUAAAAAAUAUAAAAUCUUUCUUCUGACUUCUUUUUACUGUCUUUUUGUUCAUACAAACUGUAUUCAUGUAAUAUUCAUAGCUCUAUUCUGGGAGAUUUCUUGUUUGUUCAACUUUUGUCAGAAACUACAAUGAACCGUAAUAAAAAAUCUUAAAUAAUUAAA